GGACGGACUCGCGGCCUAUCAGCUUGUUGGUGGGGUAAUGGCCUACCAAGGCGACGACGGGUAGCCGGCCUGAGAGGGUGACCGGCCACACUGGGACUGAUACACGGCCCAGACUCCUACGGGAGGCAGCAGUGGGGAAUAUUGCACAAUGGGCGCAAGCCUGAUGCAGCGACGCCGCGUGAGGGAUGAAGGCCUUUCGGGUUGUAAACCUCUUUCAGUAGGGAAGAAGCCGGCUUUUCGGGUUGGUGACGGUACCUGCAGAAGAAGCGCCGGCUAACUACGUG
rnacentral:rRNA from 1 species